UUUUACGGAGAGUUUGAUCCUGGCUCAGGAUGAACGCUGGCGGCGUGCUUAACACAUGCAAGUCGAACGAUGAAGCCCAGCUUGCUGGGUGGAUUAGUGGCGAACGGGUGAGUAACACGUGAGUAACCUGCCCUUAACUCUGGGAUAAGCCUGGGAAACUGGGUCUAAUACCGGAUAGGAGCGUCCACCGCAUGGUGGGUGUUGGAAAGAUUUAUGGUUUUUGGAUGGACUCGCGGCCUAUCAGCUUGUUGGUGAGGUAAUGGCUCACCAAGGCGACGACGGGUAGCCGGCCUGAGAGGGUGACCGGCCACACUGGGACUGAGACACGGCCCAGACUCCUACGGGAGGCAGCAGUGGGGAAUAUUGCACAAUGGGCGCAAGCCUGAUGCAGCGACGCCGCGUGAGGGAUGACGGCCUUCGGGUUGUAAACCUCUUUCAGUAGGGAAGAAGCGAG
rnacentral:rRNA from 1 species